rnacentral:rRNA from 1 species
AUUGAACGCUGGCGGCAGGCCUAACACAUGCAAGUCGAACGGUAACAGGAAGCAGCUUGCUGCUUCGCUGACGAGUGGCGGACGGGUGAGUAAUGUCUGGGAAGCUGCCUGAUGGAGGGGGAUAACUACUGGAAACGGUAGCUAAUACCGCAUAAUGUCGCAAGACCAAAGAGGGGGACCUUCGGGCCUCUUGCCAUCGGAUGUGCCCAGAUGGGAUUAGCUUGUUGGUGGGGUAACGGCUCACCAAGGCGACGAUCCCUAGCUGGUCUGAGAGGAUGACCAGCCACACUGGAACUGAGACACGGUCCAGACUCCUACGGGAGGCAGCAGUGGGGAAUAUUGCACAAUGGGCGCAAGCCUGAUGCAGCCAUGCCGCGUGUAUGAAGAAGGCCUUCGGGUUGUAAAGUACUUUCAGCGGAGAGGAAGGGAGUAAAGUUAAUACCUUUGCUCAUUGACGUUACCCGCAGAAGAAGCACCGGCUAACUCCGUG